GCAGUCGAACGGAAAGGCCCUGCUUUUGUGGGGUGCUCGAGUGGCGAACGGGUGAGUAACACGUGAGUAACCUGCCCUUGACUUUGGGAUAACUUCAGGAAGACUGGGGCUAAUACCGGAUAGGAGCUCCUGCUGCAUGGUGGGGGUUGGAAAGUUUCGGCGGUUGGGGAUGGACUCGCGGCUUAUCAGCUUGUUGGUGGGGUAGUGGCUUACCAAGGCUUUGACGGGUAGCCGGCCUGAGAGGGUGACCGGCCACAUUGGGACUGAGAUACGGCCCAGACUCCUACGGGAGGCAGCAGUGGGGAAUAUUGCACAAUGGGCGGAAGCCUGAUGCAGCAACGCCGCGUGCGGGAUGACGGCCUUCGGGUUGUAAACCGCUUUCGCCUGUGACGAAGCGUGAGUGACGGUAAUGGGUAAAGAAGCACCGGCUAACUACGUGCCAGCAGCCGCGGUGAUACGUAGGGUGCGAGCGUUGUCCGGAUUUAUUGGGCGUAAAGGGCUCGUAGGUGGUUGAUCGCGUCGGAAGUGUAAUCUUGGGGCUUAACCCUGAGCGUGCUUUCGAUACGGGUUGACUUGAGGAAGGUAGGGGAGAAUGGAAUUCCUGGUGGAGCGGUGGAAUGCGCAGAUAUCAGGAGGAACACCAGUGGCGAAGGCGGUUCUCUGGGCCUUUCCUGACGCUGAGGAGCGAAAGCGUGGGGAGCGAACAGGCUUAGAUACCCUGGUAGUCCACGCUGUAAACGGUGGGUACUAGGUGUGGGGUCCAUUCCACGGGUUCCGUGCCGUAGCUAACGCUUUAAGUACCCCGCCUGGGGAGUACGGCCGCAAGGCUAAAACUCAAAGGAAUUGACGGGGCCCCGCACAAGCGGCGGAGCAUGCGGAUUAAUUCGAUGCAACGCGUAGAACCUUACCUGGGUUUGACAUGGAUCGGGAGUGCUCAGAGAUGGGUGUGCCUCUUUUGGGGUCGGUUCACAGGUGGUGCAUGGCUGUCGUCAGCUCCUGU
rnacentral:rRNA from 1 species